rnacentral:rRNA from 1 species
CGCGUAGGCGGUUUUGCAAGUCAGAUGUGAAAGCCCCGGGCUUAACUCGGGAAUUGCAUCUGAAACUGCUUAACUUGAGUCCUGGAUGGGGUAGUGGAAUUCCCAGUGUAGCGGUGAAAUGCGUAGAUAUUGGGAGGAACACCUGCGGCGAAGGCGGCUACCUGGACAGUGACUGACGCUGAGGCGCGAAAGCUAGGGGAGCGAACG